rnacentral:tRNA from 1 species
GCACCAUUAGCCCAGCAGGAUAGCAGCAACGGCCUUCUAAGCCGUGGGUCACUGGUUCGAAUCCAGUAUGGUGCA